rnacentral:rRNA from 1 species
UACGUAGGGGGCAAGCGUUGUCCGGAAUCAUUGGGCGUAAAGCGCGCGUAGGCGGCCAGAUAAGUCCGGUGUGAAAGUCACAGGCUCAACCUGUGAAUGCCGCUGGAAACUGUCUGGCUUGAGUCCGGAAGGGGCGAGUGGAAUUCCUGGUGUAGCGGUGAAAUGCGCAGAUAUCAGGAGGAACACCUAUUGCGAAGGCAGCUCGCUGGGACGUAACUGACGCUGAGACGCGAAAGCGUGGGGAGCAAACAGG